rnacentral:rRNA from 1 species
CUGCUACAGAAGUCACUGCGCCAACCGCAAGGGGGCAGGUGCCUAAGAAGUGGUUCGUGACUGGGGUGAAGUCGUAACAAGGUAGCCGUAGGUGAACCUGCAGAAGGAUCA